CAAUAGCGUAUAUUAAAGUUGUUGCAGUUAAAAAGCUCGUAGUUGGAUUUCUGGUACAACGCGCCUGGCCCGCUUUAUGUGAGUGCUGGUGCGCGUUUGCCAUCCUUCUAGAAAACGUUUCUACCCUGGCAACGGGGCCGGACUCGCGAUCUAGAUCUUUUACUUUGAAAAAAUUAGAGUGUUAAAGCAGGCUUUUGCUGUGAAUACAUUAGCAUGGAAUAAUAAUCUAGGACUUCGGUUCUAUUUUGUUGGUUUCUAGUACUGAAGUAAUGAUUGAUAGGGAUAGUGGGGGUGCUAGUAUUGGCCGGCCAGAGGUGAAAUUCUUGGAUUCGGUCAAGACUAACUUAUGCGAAAGCAUUCACCAAGGAUGUCUUCUUUAAUCAAGAACGAAAGGUUGGGGAUCGAAGAUGAUUAGAUACCG
rnacentral:rRNA from 1 species